AGCAGCCGCGGUAAUUCCAGCUCCAAUAGCGUAUAUUAAAGUUGUUGCAGUUAAAAAGCUCGUAGUUGAACUUCGGGGUUUACCCAUUGGUCAGGCUUAAUUGUCUGUACUGGUGAGAUGAAUCUCUACCUUCUGAGGAACUUUCAUGCCAUUUAUUUGGUGUGAUGGGAAAUCAGGACUGUUACUUUGAAAAAAUUAGAGUGUUUAAAGCAGGCUAACGUCUGAAUACAUUAGCACGGAAUAAUGAAAUAGGACGGACUGAUUCUAUUUCGUUGGUUUCUAGGAUCACCGUAAUGAUUAAUAGGGAUAGUUGGGGGCAUUAGUAUUCAAUUGUCAGAGGUGAAAUUCUUGGAUUUAUUGAAGACUAACUACUGCGAAAGCAUUUGCCAAGGAUGUUUUCAUUAAUCAAGAACGAAAGUUAGGGGAUCGAAGACGAUCAGAUACCGUCGUAGUCUUAACCAUAAACUAUGCCGACUAGGGAUCGGACGAAGUUAAUUUUAUAAUGACGCGUUCGGCACCUUAC
rnacentral:rRNA from 1 species